rnacentral:rRNA from 1 species
CUACGGGGGGCUGCAGUGAGGAAUAUUGCGCAAUGGGGGGAACCCUGAUGCAGCAACGCCGCGUGGAGGAUGACGCAUUUCGGUGUGUAAACUCCUUUUAUAUGUCAAGAAAAUGACGGUAGCAUAUGAAUAAGCACCGGCUAACUCCGUGCCAGCAGCCGCGGUAAUACGGAGGGUGCAAGCGUUACUCGGAAUCACUGGGCGUAAAGGACGCGUAGGCGGGUUGGAAAGUCAGGUGUGAAAUCCUACAGCUUAACUGUAGAACUGCACUUGAAACUUCUAAUCUAGAGUAUGGGAGGGGGAGAUGGAAUUAGUGGUGUAGGGGUAAAAUCCGUAGAUAUCACUAGGAAUACCUAAAGCGAAGGCGAUCUCCUGGAGCAUUACUGACGCUAAGGCGUGAAAGCGUGGGGAGCAAACAGGAUUAGAUACCCGAGUAGUC